rnacentral:misc_RNA from 1 species
AAGGAUCAUUAUUGAAUAUUCUUGAUGGGUUGUAGCUGGCUCUUUGGAGCAUGUGCACGCCUGUCUUGACUUAAUUCAUCCACCUGUGCACUUUUUGUAGUCUUGGAGGUUGAGAGCGGUCGACUAUCAGAUGGCUGUUAUGGCCUUUCCGGAUGUGAGGAAUUGCUGAGUGCGAAAGCAUACAGCUCUUCUCAAAUCGACUUGCAAUACCUCUCCUUCAAGUACUAUGUAUUCAUAUACCACAUAGUAUGUUGUAGAAUGUGAUCAAUGGGCUUAUGUGCCUAUAAUAAUCAUAUACAACUUUCAGCAACGGAUCUCUUGGCUCUC